UGCAAUUCAUCGAGUCUACUCUACCAGUGAAGCUUCUUCGUAAAUUUGAAUUACGACCAUCCUUCGGAUUGGUUCUUCGUUCUGUUAAGGAUCUCGUCAAUGUGUUAGGUGAAACGUUAUUUUCGACGGACCAGCCACUAGCUUCGUUUUCAUGUUCAUCUUCAACUGAAAAAUGUUCUUUGACUGUGAGAUUUCCUUCGGCCGAAGGUCGAAAGUCAUUCUUUAAAACGAUCGGUUGUGUUAUCGACGUUGUUCGUCGAUCGGUCGUAAAACCGUCGUUCAACCAAGGGAAAGGAAUAAUCGGCGUCUACAGCAAAAGUACGACGCCUGUGGAUCUUACGAACAUCUCUGUGACGUCGAUGUAUACCCUCUCGUUCGGUAAAAGAUCGUCUAAGCUUAACCAACAUAGGAACGUUAGAAAUCUCCUCGUGAUAGCUUUGAUUUCUCGUUGGUACAACAUUCUUACCACCGAACGGGUCGUCCGGACAGACUUCUUGGAUUGGGCUAGCGAAGAUGAGAGUUCUGUGAAAGAUAGAAACAUCAAAAAUAGUAAUCAAAGAGGACGGAAUAUAUAAAAGAGAUUUGUUGAUUAAAAAAAAGAAAAGUUUCAGUUGAAUAUUUAAAAAUUAAGGAAAAGUAGAUGAUAUUAGUAAAAUUGACCUUGAAUAAUCAUAUUUUUGUUCCGUAGGUGAUGACUUCUCUUUCCCAAAGGUAGAAUUCUGUAGAUAUCCUUUAUCUUUCGCUCGUGAACUCGACGCAUUAUUCAAGUAUUCUCGUGACAAACACGUGUGAACCUUCUCCUCAUUUGAUCCAACAAUUUCAUUAUUUCUUCUCCCACAUUCCAAAUGCGAGUUAUUAUAUCGAAGCUCCUCGAAACUCCUAUCCAACCUUACGGUUUCCCAAUCUUCGAUGUGCUCUAAUUCUUGUGCGGUAGUCAUCAAAGUGUAUCGACGCUUGUUUUGCUUGAGAAUCGAUUUCAAACAGAAAUAGGUCCUCGAGACUGGUAUUUGCCUACGAACUUCAUCCGAUCUUGGAUUCACGGUCACUCUGCAACGCGAUGUGCUCUGCUCCACAAAUCUCUUUGGAAUAGCACCUUUCGAUUCAGCACUGUUUAUCUCACGAGUCACAUUAUUAUCUAUAGAUUUGUUUAUUAUUAUAGACGAAACUUCAUCAUCGAUUAUUGUUUCAAAAUUAUCCCGAGGUCCAUCCAAUUUGACUCUCGAGAGAUUAUUUCGAGAAUCUGUAGUUUCUUCUUCUAAAAUAUUCUCCAAACUUUUACAAUUUAUCUUGGAAGAACAAGCUCCUUCGUGACCUAUUUCUGAACGCGAUCGUAAGUUCGGCUCGGAAAUAUCUCGUUUCACUCUUCGCGAUGGGCGAACAACUUUGUCGGUCCUAUCCAUUGUUCUAGCGUUAUUAACGGUAAUCUCACCGAGAUUAUUUUUGUCCGAAACACUGGGACACGUGUAAGAACUUUGGUGACCGCACGAACAAGAUACAAGUUCAAAGUCAUUUGAGAUAUCGUUCUGACACAUCGAACUGCUAGCGAUACACGUAGGAUCCAAAGUUACGUAAGUAGAGUCUCGAUUUUCCCCAUGAUUCGAAAGAUUUUGUUCCUGAACGAUCUCCAAGUCGUUGGAAAUUUUAUGACAAAGACAUUGGCACGUCGGUUCAAUCUCCACUCUGAGAUCCUUUCUUUCUUCUUGAAUCAAUGGAAAAGUUCCGGCGACGUUCGAUCCAAGUUCAGCUCGUUCGUAAAGCAAUGCUUCGGAAUAACUAGGAACUAUUCCCAUAUCGAUCUCGGACUCUGUUCCUGGCUCUGCUUCGAUCUGUCGAUUUUCUGUGGUAGGUCGAGCUGCUGGUUCCAUGAGGAGUGCUUCACUGUAACUUGGUGCCAACAUGUAAGAUCCUGGUUGACUCAAUUGACUAGUGGAAGUACGUAUUGGCUCGGCACCGAUCGGUGUAUCAUAGUUCACUCCAAAUAGUUUAGUCACCUAAAAACAUCGGUAAAUCUUAUCCCUUCUUCCUAAAAAUCUUUAGAUAUCGUAACUGUUUACCUGAUAGUCGGCGUAUUGCGUAUUGUACUCUAUGAUUACUCUCAAGGGCCAACUAAGGAGGAGAGCGCUAAGGCACCAGUAAACGUAACGAUUGGUGAACCAAGGUUUACCAAGGACGGCGACUAAAGUUGUGGGAUUGAGAUUACAUCCAAGUUCCAAGCCUUCCCUCAUCUCCAUGUAGUCGUCCCUCAGUUCCUAUCCAAACGAAAAUAUAAGAUAAUUAAUUCUUGGCACGAGUAUAUCCUUCGAUCGACUACGAACUAACGUACUUGUUCAGCGAAGAACCUUGACCUGGCUUCCUCGAAUUCCGUGGCGGAUCUCAUGUUUGAAAAGGCGAAGCCCUUGGUCAGCGCGAUCUUCGUGAUGGGUACUUUUGGAUCGGGUAUCAGUUCCUUGCUGAUAUCCUUCACCCCACAGUAAUCGUAGUAAUAGAAGGACGUGGCUGCGUACACGAGAUAAAGCAUUCCCAUAAAGGCAACCUACGAUAAGGAAAGUAGCGAAUUAAUAAUGCAUAUUACUACAAUAGAUAUGAUAGUCGUAUAAAUAUACAUACUGGAAUAUAUAUAUAACCAUCGUCACAUGGAGACACGUGCUUAGUACUUUUGAUAAGGUACUUGGAGAAGUUGAUUACAACCUACGAAUACAUUCCUUUAAGAUAAAGAUCUAUUUAUAAAAAGAUUAUAUAAAAAAAAAAAAAAAAAACAAAAAGACUAAUAUUCUUUUCUUUGUAAAACAUACCUUGGUAACAUUAGCGCACCUACACCACGUAACUGCCGCGAGGCAUCCAUAUAUCAGUACGGAAAGUACUAAACACUUGCAAUUGGGUUCCUUCUGCAACGCUCCACAAAACGUUUGAGAAACGGGUUGCUGCUGUAAAUAGAAAGAAAAACGGUAUAACUAGCAAAGUGCCUAUUCUGUUACGAUAUGAUCAAAACGUUUGAGAAACGGGUUGCUGCUGUAAAUAGAAAGAAAAAUGAUAUAACUAGCAAAGUGCCUAUUCUGUUACAAUAUGAUCGAUUUCGUUUUACAAGACGUAGAUAAUCGAGAACACGGAUAACACAAUCCUUAUAAGGUAAAUACAUCGAGUAGUCAUUAUUCCUGAAAAGCUUCGAACUAACGAUCGUUUGAAGAGAUCGAAUUUUAUACUUUAUCGGUCUUUAUCGAAUGAUUGAAAGACCUUAGAUAUUUUGUUCUAUUACGACUUUAAUUUUUUAUUUUUUAAAUAAAAUUAUUAAUAAAAUUAAAAUCCAUUGAAAGAAAUAUAUUCUUAUUGAUUAAUUGAGAAACAUAAACAUUUUUUAUUUUUUAAGUAAAAUUAUUUUAAUAGCAUUUAAAUCUUUAAAAAGAAAAAUCUAUCGAAGAAAAUGAUCGUUUCUAACUUACCUCUUCGUUUUCCCGAUUCAUCGUCGAAUAACCGAAGCAAUCUUCGAGUUGUACAAUCGUUUUAGAUCAGUUUCCUGAUCGUGACAUAUCACGCGAUUAUAUCUUAUGCCGGAUUUGUCUUCUCUCGUUGCUCGUCCAAAGGUGGAGGGUCAUCCCGUGGAUCACGAUAACCGACAAACUUUGUAAGACGUCAGCUAGAAAACAGGACCAAUACAGAGUGGUCUCUACAGGAUGAUAUUUAUAAGCCACCCACGCAAAAAUAUACUUUAUCCUUUAGUUUAAGAAGAAUGGGCGUGUUGAACGAACUGAAAUAUCAUGUUUUACAUUCACGAGUAUUUAGAUUUCAAAGUUUCACGAUAAAAUAUUUUUAUCGAAUUAUAGUUAUUCCAUUUAAUUACUUAUUAGAUUAAUUAAUAAGAAAUAUAAGAGAAAAAGAGAGAGAGAGAGAGAGAGAAAAGAAGGAGACAAUAUCCCUGUUAUUUAACAUACAGUGAGUUCGAUGCUAUAGAUUUAUAUAAAGUAGUAUUCGAAGGAUCAAGAUUUAGCGAUAUAGUUUCGGAGGUAUCGCGAUAAAAAUAUUCGUGCCAGUUAAAAAAAAAAAAAGAAAGAAAGAAAGAAAGAAAGAAAGAAAAAAAGAAAGAAGAAAAUAAAAUAAUUCAACGUAUAUUUAUAUCCAGACUAAACAAAAUUUGAUCUAUUUUUUCCUUAUCUCAUUAGAACUAUAAAUAUCAUAUAUUGGCCUUACUCUCUACACGGAAAGCGACGAUUUCCUUUAUUCGCAAAUCAAAUUUCUUCACUUACAUUACAUUUGAUCUCAUCGAACUACACAGAUAAGACGCGGAACUUUCUCACGAACACAGGCCUCCCAAGUAAGACAAAUAACUAGGAUUCCCAUCGGCCCGCCCAUCUUCACUGAAAAGUACAUAUAUAUGUAAUAGUAGCGCGCGCGUAUUCUAAAUUUCGAUAGAACAAAUUGAUAAUGUAACACAGCACUGUGUUCCAAUGUAAUCCAUCGACGCUUCGGUAUCUUUACGAAAAGCUUUUCUCCUUCGACUUGCCCAACAUUCAUUUGGAUGAGCGAGGCCGUCGUACUCGAAGAAUUGAAGGAAGCGAGAGAGAAAAAAAAUUGAAAAAAAAAUAGAAAGAAAAAGAGAGAGAGAGAGAGAGAAAGAGAAGGAGAGAGAGAGAGAGAGAGAGAGAGAGAGAGAAAUUGAAGAAGAAAGAAAGACACAAUGUCGAUCGUAGGUAUGCGAACAUUUACCGAAAUAUCUUUCCGCUUCAUGGCGUUGACCGUAAUAUAAUCGUUUCGCAUGACGAGACGAGAAAGGAGAGAUUUUUUCUCGAUGAGAAUCUGCAAUUCGAAAUUUCUAAAGAAUUCCUUAUUUUUUUAACGUCCAGCUCUCCACUGGACGCUCCAUGGGACGCAACGCCACGGGACGCACCGAGGGACACACCAAGGGAUGCAGAAACGCGCGGAAGGUUUCGCGACAACUGCACGCGUCCCUCUCCUGCCCUAGCGACCUUACGCCCGCGAGAGACGACAGCCGCCGCGCCGGCGUCGACGUCUGGCUCGGGGUCGGCGUCGACCCUCUUUCUCUAUUCUCUCUCUCUCUCUCUCUCUCUCUCUCUCUCUCUCUCUUUCUCUAUUCUCUCUCUCUCUCUCUUUCUCUAUUCUC